GACGAACGCUGGCGGCGCGCCUAACACAUGCAAGUCGAACGGAGCUGAGAGGAGCUUGCUUUUCUUAGCUUAGUGGCGAACGGGUGAGUAACGCGUGAGUAACCUGCCCUGGAGUGGGGGACAACAGUUGGAAACGACUGCUAAUACCGCAUAAGCCCACGGCCCGGCAUCGGGCUGAGGGAAAAGGAUUUAUUCGCUUCAGGAUGGACUCGCGUCCAAUUAGCUAGUUGGUGAGGUAACGGCCCACCAAGGCGACGAUUGGUAGCCGGACUGAGAGGUUGAACGGCCACAUUGGGACUGAGACACGGCCCAGACUCCUACGGGAGGCAGCAGUGGGGGAUAUUGCACAAUGGGGGAAACCCUGAUGCAGCGACGCCGCGUGGAGGAAGAAGGUUUUCGGAUUGUAAACUCCUGUCGU
rnacentral:rRNA from 1 species